rnacentral:rRNA from 1 species
AUUGAACGCUGGUGGCAGGCUUAACACAUGCAAGUCGAACGGUAACAGGAAUUAGCUUGCUAAUUUGCUGACGAGUGGCGGACGGGUGAGUAAUGCUUGGGAAUCUGGCUUAUGGAGGGGGAUAACUACGGGAAACUGUAGCUAAUACCGCGUAAAUCUUCGGAUUAAAGGGUGGGACUUUCGAGCCACCUGCCAUAAGAUGAGCCCAAGUGGGAUUAGGUAGUUGGUUAGGUAAAGGCUGACCAAGCCGACGAUCUCUAGCUGGUCUGAGAGGAUGACCAGCCACACUGGAACUGAGACACGGUCCAGACUCCUACGGGAGGCAGCAGUGGGGAAUAUUGCACAAUGGGGGGAACCCUGAUGCAGCCAUGCCGCGUGAAUGAAGAAGGCCUUCGGGUUGUAAAGUUCUUUCGGUGACGAGGAAGGUUGAUAGGUUAAUAGCCUAUCAAAUUGACGUUAAUCACAGAAGAAGCACCGGCUAACUCCGUG